rnacentral:rRNA from 1 species
CAGCCGCCGCGGUAAUACGUAGGUGGCAAGCGUUGUCCGGAAUUAUUGGGCGUAAAGGGCUCGCAGGCGGUUUCUUAAGUCUGAUGUGAAAGCCCCCGGCUCAACCGGGGAGGGCCAUUGGAAACUGGGAAACUUGAGUGCAGAAGAGGAGAGUGGAAUUCCACGUGUAGCGGUGAAAUGCGUAGAGAUGUAGAGGAACACCAGUGGCGAAGGCGACUCUCUGGUCUGUAACUGACGCUGAGGAGCGAAAGCGUGGGGAGCGAACAGGAUUAGAUACCCGCGUAGUCCCUGUCUCUUAUAA